CCUUUGGAGAGUUAUACCAAACUAAAGUAGCUUUUGUUAGCAAAAUAGGACUCGACGAAUAAGGAA
ncrna:unclassified sequences RAGATH-18 RNA